GUUAAAUCCAGCUGGCGGCUGGCCCUGAGUGGUGUUCCCCAAGGGUUGGUGCUGGGGCCUGUCCUGUUCAAUACACUUGGCCACAACAACCCCAGGCAACACUACAGGCUUGGGGCAGAGCAGCUGGAAGACUGUGGAAGAAAUGAACCUGGGUCGAUGCUCAGCUGAACAUGAGCCAACAGUGUGCCCAGGUGGCCAAGAAGGCCAAUGGCAUCCUGGCUUGUAUCAGAAAUAGUGUUCCCAGCAGGAGUGGGGAAGCAGUUGUCUCCUGUACUUAGCUCUGGUGAGGCCGCACCUCGAGUACUGUGUUCAGUUUUGGGCCCCUCACUACAAGAAGGACAUCGAGGCCCUGGAGUGUAUCCAGGGAAGGGCAACAAAGCUGAGCACUGAGCUCACCCCUGCCUACUGUGAUCUGUGAAGUAUCGAUUCCCAGCCUCCUCAG
rnacentral:lncRNA from 1 species